GGGAGGUGAUGGUGGAAGAUUGACCAAGGGAGCUGCAGAGGGGAUAACCUCCUCAGAAAGCUGGAAGGAUAGAGAAGGGAAGACACAGCUGAAGGUGGAAUCAUUUGAAUGUGGCAGAAGGACCAUCGUGGCACAUCCUGUCAGCAAGACUCAAGCACCGAAGUGGAACCAGUGGAGGGUGAACAGCUGAAGAUGGCCCUCAAAUUUGUUAGCCAGGCAGGAGACGUCAAAGUCAGCAAAGGAUUGGUUGGGAGAAGUGGCUCGUGCAGUCCGACAACCACUCACGGAAAGACAAGCCCAGACAGAUUAAAUGGAUUCAGAAUCAAACUCUUGUUUUUGUGUCAAUGUAGCCUACUCAAGCAUGCAUCAGACUGUGAUUUUAUCCAUUUGUGCUGUCAGGUUAGUGCAAGAGUGAUUCUCAUUGUAAAAUUUUUCAGAUACUUGAUUGAGUUUAUAAAUCGACACACACACCAUGGGAAAGAUAGCAACUUUCUUCAGAUAAAUCACACAGGAGAUACUACAGUCCAUAGCAUUAACAAAGAUAAUUUGUGAACAUCUUCCAUAUAACAAUAACUACUUAAUGACAAACUAUUGUAUUAUAUUAUUAUCAUCAUUUUUAUUUAAAGCAAAAAAAUGAUAUGUCAAUAGUUACUUUUAAAAAGAUCACUUAAAUAAGGAUGUUUCUGUGUGGGUGUGUAGGUUCACUGAUAUUUAUGAUUUCUUUCAGAAGCUCCACUCUCAGUCAUCAGAAUAUCAACCGCCUUCACGCUGAGUAGCAACUCUGGUUAUAAACACUUUUGCAUUUUGCAGUUGUCUACAAGCUGCCUUUUUUUAAAAUCCUUAUGUUAUAAUCAGCUUUAGCCAGAUUUUAUUAUUUAAAAAAUGGGAUUUCAAUAACUGUAUUUAUGGCAAUGUACCAGCUUUUGUCACUCUGUAUACUCAUGAAAUUUGAAAGGGCAUGAUGAUCAAUUGGCGGUCAAAUCAAAGAGUAAUAGAUAGCCAGCAACUUGUAUGCAUUUGAUAUAAAAGGUGCUUUAUUCCAAAUCACUAUUUUGUCACUGAAAGAAUGCUUCCUGAACGUGGAUUAAUUAAAGUGUAAACAUUAAAUAUUGAUUGAUGCAUUAUCAGCCCAGAGCAGUUGCCUACACUCAGAUUGAUUUCUACAGUGAUUUAUUGUCAUAUUUGUUGAGUCAUUUCACUUGAUAACAAAGAGAAAUUGUGUUCUAUUGGAGUCUUCUCUCUCUUGCUGCUAUCUCUGCCUUUGAAUUUAAAACUAAUAUGCAUGUAACAAAAAAGUGCCAGUCAUUACAUUGGCAAAUUCUUUUUCCCUUCUUUGUUCCAAUUUGGUACCGUUUGGGUGUGUUUUUUUUAUUAAACCUAUUUUUGACAUAAUGGUAACAGCAUGCCAUUUAAUAAAACAGAUGGUCUAAACUCUAAACUCUUAAAGAAAGCAGACUCCUGGCACAAUGCAUUCCAUUCUCUCGUUUUGUGUAUUUGUUUGUUAGUGGCUAUUUUCCCUUUUGUUUAAUUCAUUUUAGUGACUUCACUUCCUAUCUGUCGUCAGAGCAGCAUCAGCAUUGUGACAGUAUUUUUCCAGAGUUUUAAAAUCUCAAGGGUCAACAUUUAGUCUUUUGUUGCAACAAGCAAUUGCAGUUUGCACCAUUAACGAACCGUUUUUUUCUCUAACAGUCCCUUGAUAAUUGUUUGAGGACUCAAACAAGUAAUACUAUCCAAAGUCAUGUGAGGGCAAAUUGUUGCAGAAACUAGCUAGAUUAAUCCUUGAGAUUGAGACCCUUAUCUUGUGCAUUUUCAAAUGUACUGGCAGUGUUAUAAAAUGAACCAUAGAUCAGAGAUAACAUUUUAGAUAAAGGUAUAAAUGGUGUAAUAUGAUCCCCAUUUCAUUUCUUUCUUGGAAGAGCUCCUAUCUGCACAUGCUUAUUGUUGUCCAAGGAAACCUCAUGCAUUGAUUUCAUUGUAAUGUAUUUGUUCUCUGUGCAAGUUAAUGUCACACCUCUGGAAUCUCACUUUAAUCGACCUGUUAGUUUUAAAUUUAAUAAAGAGCUUGCAAUUACCAAAACUAAACAACAACCCCCCACCCCAUUCAUGAUUUAUUCCAGAAUUCCAAUCAUUGAAAUUGAUUGCAGUUUGUAUAGUUAAGAAUCUCAUUGCAUAUGGACAUUAAGAUGGUCAAAACAGCUUAGAUAUGUUGAUGACUGGUAUUUGUCAAAGCUAUCCAGGUGUUCUUUAGUUUAAAAAGAUUCAAAUGCAUCUUUAGGGAAAAUCACAGUUGCAAAUUGUAUUUGUUGAACAGAACUGUGAACUUGAAAACCUGGCUGAGAUCAUCCUGUGUAACCAAUUCCAACCAGCUAGCUUUAAAUUUUAAUCAUUCAAUUGUGUGUUUCACUGCUUUAAUAAAUGAAUCUAGAAAUUGCUGCUGAAAGAGAGCUGGGACAAAAUAAUGGGGAAAAAAUGGCUCAUUGAAAAAUGCUAGCUAUAGGCCAUCAGUAAAGAUUCUGUAAAAUUCAGGGCUAAUAACCAAGUAAUAUUGUUUUGUAAAAUAAAGGGGAAAAUGAGCCUUUUUAUGGCAAAAUGAGUCAGUUUACCAUUUAUUCCCUCUAACUUGAAAUGUUUGUUGCUUUAAAAUAAUGGCUUUUAUUACUAAUUUACUUCAAAGUUGAAAACAGGAAGCAGUAAAACAUUCCAUUAGUACAUAUCUUCAAAAACAAUGUUCAGUUAGAUUUUAUUGCUUGUUGUCUGGUAUUUUGAUUCUCUUGUAGCCUUUUAUCAUUGCUGUUUACACAUACCAGCUGAAUGAGUUAUCCACUGAUCAAAGGGUUAAGCUGUGUAUCGGGAACAAAUAGACUGAAUAUAUGCAAUUCUGAAAGUAGCUGCGGAG